CUGGAUAAGAUGCCAACACAACAAAAUUUUUUUUUUAAAUUCAGUUCGAAUAUUCAUAAAAAUCAAAACUUUCAACAACGGAUCUCUUGGUUCUCGCAUCGAUGAAGAACGCAGCGAAAUGCGAUACGUAGUAUGACUUGCAGACGUGAAUCAUCGAAUCUUUGAACGCACAUUGCGCCUCGAGGUAUUCCUCGAGGCAUGCCUGUUUGAGCGUCGGCCCCCCCCUCUAACCCCCCCGGGUUAGGUGUUGUGGUGACACACGAAAUAGCAAGCGCAAUCAAUCACACGUUUUUGAUGACGCCCAACCAUUUUCGCCCUCAAAUCAG
rnacentral:misc_RNA from 1 species